rnacentral:tmRNA from 1 species
GGGCCCGUACCGGUUUCGACGGGGAUGUGGAGGCGGGAAUAGCGGGCGGAUGCGCCUACCAUCCAUAAAAUGGGCAACUUAUAAAUUAAAGAACAACGAUAACGUAGUUCUCGCCGCGGCUUAACGCGGCCGUCCUACCGGUCAGGGCCACGGGUCCGGCUAGGGCGUGACGAAGUGGCGUCCGUGCGUACGCAAAGAGUUGCGCGUACCAUGAAUCAUGACUCUACCAAACCUCUGAGUGUGACGGUUCACGCUCGGGCAAGGGAAUGUAAAUAACCGUCUGCGCCCGGAGAAGUUCCCGUUAAAGCGUUUUCGGACAGGGGUUCAACUCCCCUCGGGUCCACC